rnacentral:rRNA from 1 species
UACGGAGGGUGCGAGCGUUGUCCGGAAUCACUGGGCGUAAAGGGCGCGUAGGUGGCGACGCAAGUCAACGGUGAAAGCUCGACGCUCAACGUCGAGUCGGCCGUCGAUACUGCAUUGCUCGAGCACUGUAGAGGCAGAUGGAAUUCCGGGUGUAGCGGUGGAAUGCGUAGAGAUCCGGAAGAACACCGGUGGCGAAGGCGGCCCGCUGGGCAGGAAGGCUCGCAAGAGCCGGCUGACGCUGAGGCGCGACAGCGUGGGGAGCAAACAGG